rnacentral:lncRNA from 1 species
GGAUGUGGAGGAUAUUCCAGAAUCAAUCAAUGUUUCGGUGGAUCCUUUGAUCUACAAUAUUCAAAUAUGCAUUAACUUUAUCUCUGAGCUAUCCCCACUAGGCUCACCCUCUUCCGUGGGGAACUCGGAUAAUGAAGAUGAAGACUAGGAUUAUUGGUUCAAAUCAGGGGGUAAAUCAUCGCCAUCGAAAAAUAGGAAAAGGUUGGCUGCACCACCUGGUAGCUCUUCAGAUAAGAGACAAGCCUUCCGACCCCAGACGGAAAGUGGUAGCCCAAUAUUAGGGCUGGAGUGUGCUAUGAAAACAUCCAACACCAUAAUGACAAACAACAAACUAAGUACUUAGAUUAGCCGCCAGUUUGUUUUGAUACUCCAUGCCUAUCUCUCGAGGCUAGACCCAUGGGC